rnacentral:lncRNA from 1 species
UGAGGAGCUAUAUUAAAGGGUGGCAACAUCAGGGAGGCUGAGGACCACUGCUCUAAGUAUUGGAUGUCUUAGAUGAUGCUGAAAGGAAGACUAAAAGCAAGAACCAGUCACGAUCCCUCUGGUCUUCAAAUAUAAAUGCAGCCAGGGGGGUGGUGUAUAGGCCUUUUAGUCUAGGCACUUGGCACCUGGUCAACGUAGCAAGUUCCAAGCCUGGGUAUGUAUAUAUAUAUAUAUAUAUAUAUGCUCACACCUGUAAUCUUAGCACUUAGGAGACCAAGAUGGAAGGACCAGAAUAGUUCAAGGAUAUCCUCAGCUACAUAGCAAGGCCGAGGUCAUACUGGACUCUGUGAGACACUGUCUCAAAUACAAUAGUAACCACAAAGUUGUCUGGAAGUUAGGGUGUACCUCAGUGGUAGAGCAUU